rnacentral:rRNA from 1 species
UACAGAGGGGGCAAGCGUUAUUCGGAAUUAUUGGGCGUAAAGGGCGCGUAGGCGGCCUUGUAAGUCAAAGGUGAAAUCCCUCGGCUCAACUGAGGAACUGCCUUUGAAACUGCAAGGCUUGAGGCCGGGAGGGGGUAGCGGAAUUCCCGGUGUAGUGGUGAAAUGCGUAGAUAUCGGGAGGAACACCAGUGGCGAAGGCGACUACCUGGCCUGUUCUUGACGCUGAGGCGCGAAAGCUGGGGGAGCAAACGGG